UACGUAGGGCGCAAGCGUUAUCCGGAAUUAUUGGGCGUAAAGAGCUCGUAGGUGGUUUGUCGCGUUGUCCGUGAAAACUCACAGCUCAACUGUGGGCGUGCGGGCGAUACGGGCAGACUGGAGUACUGCAGGGGAGACUGGAAUUCCUGGUGUAGCGGUGAAAUGCGCAGAUAUCAGGAGGAACACCGGUGGCGAAGGCGGCACUCUGGGCCGGAACUGACGCUGAGGAGCGAAAGCGUGGGGAGCGAACAGG
rnacentral:rRNA from 1 species